rnacentral:rRNA from 1 species
UACGUAGGGCGCGAGCGUUGUCCGGAAUUAUUGGGCGUAAAGAGCUCGUAGGCGGUUUGUUGCGUCGGCUGUGAAAACCUGCGGCUUAACUGUGGGCUUGCAGUCGAUACGGGCAGACUUGAGUUCGGCAGGGGAGACUGGAAUUCCUGGUGUAGCGGUGAAAUGCGUAGAUAUCAGAAGGAACACCAGUGGCGAAGGCGGCUACCUGGACUGACACUGACGCUGAGGCGCGAGAGCGUGGGGAGCAAACAGG